rnacentral:tRNA from 1 species
CGGGGUGUAGCGCAGCCUGGUAGCGCAUCUGCUUUGGGAGCAGAGGGCCGGCGGUUCGAAUCCGUCCACCCCGA